rnacentral:ncRNA from 1 species
CGGUGCCGUUCGGAAGGAUGAAAAGGGAAUGCCGUGCAAAUCGGCAACAGUUCCCGCUGCUGUGAGUUCCGUCUCUGCGCCCCUCGAGGCGCCAGCCCAAGCGUGUUGUGACCAUCCAGGCCACUGGCUCCCCACGGCGGGAACCGGGAAGGCGGCACAACCGGAACAAGUCAGAAGACCUGCCUGCGCCG